GAUGAAGAACGUAGCGAAAUGCGAUAAGUAAUGUGAAUUGCAGAAUUCAGUGAAUCAUCGAAUCUUUGAACGCACAUUGCGCCCGCCAGUAUUCUGGCGGGCAUGCCUGUUCGAGCGUCAAUUUCACCAUCAAGCUCUGCUUGUGUUGGGGUCCUGCGGCUGCCCGCAGGCCCUGAAACCCAGUGGCGGGCUCGCUAGUCACACCGAGCGCAGUAGCACAUCUCGCUCAGGGCGUGCGGCGGGUUCUUGCCGUAAAACAACCCCCCCUUUUCACCAAGGUUGACCUCGGAUCAGGUAGGAAUACCCGCUGAACUUAAGCAUAUCAAUAAGCGGAGGA
rnacentral:misc_RNA from 1 species